AGAUGUGUAAAUUUUGCUUUCGAAGCAAGAGAUUUUAAUAUGGCAGCAUGUUUGGCAUACGUCGUGGAUAGAGCUACGUAUUGGUCGGGGGCGUCUAAGGCUUUGCUGCAGGUUGUUGACCUAAUUAAACAGACUGAUCCUCUUGUGGCGAUUGCACCACAAAUCCAAGUAAGAAAAGCACGUGUAUUAAAAGAUGAGGGUGAUCUUCAUGGUGCCAUGAAGGUACUCGACAACAUUCUUGAAAGACGUCAAGAUCAACCAGGU